GAAAACCUGAAGUCCCGAGCAGGGUCGGCCUGCGCGCCUCUGUAGAGCGCCCGCCGCCCGGGAGGGGGCCUGGCGGUCGGAGAGCUGACGACGGGGCCAAGUUCUCCCCGCCCCGCCCCGCCCGGGGAGGUUUAGUUCCCCGUCGUUUAGAGCCGCCUUUUCUUAUUGAUAAUUUCUUUUUGUCAUCGUCAUCUCUUGGCCUCAGACUGCAUUAAGGGAGCCAUAUUGAGACUGCGGAAAAUGAGGUGAUCUGGAGAAAAAAUUAAAAUGUGAUUUAAAAAAUAGAGUUUUUCCUACUUCCUUUUUCUCUCUCAAAUUACUGUAGAUGUAAGUUACAUUUGGAAAAGCCCCAAGGUCAGGCUUUCCAAAGCUCUGUCUUCUGCCCUCACCUGACACUUAAAAUAAGAUUUUGGUGUGAUAGUAAUUUUGCCAAGUGGAGGUCGACUCCCCAAAACAUCACCCCGCUGAGCACCGCUUUCGUUCGUGUAAAGCUGCAGGGGAAUAACAUAAGGGCUGUGCUGAUGUGUUCAAAGACAUGCAAACAUUCAACUCCGUGUGGCCGUGACAAUGGAGUCAGUUUUCUUCUGCUCAAGCACCUGAGCUCAACAGAAGCAUAGGUGUUGGCAAGGUGCUCGACUAUUUGGUGCAAAUGAAGUCACAGCUUCUGAAGAGCUUCACAGAUUUUGAUGAAGAGAAACAGAGCACAAGCAAGGGGAGCAGCAGGCAGAGGGAGACGGAGAAGCAG